UAGUUCUUUCGGGAACUAGAGACCGGCGCACGGGUGCGUAACGCGUAUGCAACUUGCCCUACUGAAAAGGAUAGCCCUUCGAAAGGAGGAUUAAUACUUUAUAAUAGAAAUCAUGGCAUCAUGAAUUUUUGAAAGAUUUAUCGCAGUAGGAUAGGCAUGCGUAAGAUUAGUUAGUUGGUGAGGUAACGGCUCACCAAGACGAUGAUCUUUAGGGGGCCUGAGAGGGUGAACCCCCACACUGGUACUGAGACACGGACCAGACUCCUACGGGAGGCAGCAGUGAGGAAUAUUGGACAAUGGGUGGAAGCCUGAUCCAGCCAUCCCGCGUGUAGGAUGACGGCCUUAUGGGUUGUAAACUACUUUUAUCUGGGGAUAAACCUACUUACGUGUAAGUAGCUGAAGGUACCAGAAGAAUAAGCACCGGCUAACUCCGUGCCAGCAGCCGCGGUAAUACGGAGGGUGCAAGCGUUAUCCGGAUUUAUUGGGUUUAAAGGGUCCGUAGGCGGAUUAAUCAGUCAGUGGUGAAAUCUCAUAGCUUAACUAUGAAACUGCCAUUGAUACUGUUAGUCUUGAGUGAUGUUGAAGUUGCUGGAAUGUGUAGUGUAGCGGUGAAAUGCUUAGAUAUUACGCAGAACACCAAUUGCGAAGGCAGGUGACUAAACAUUAACUGACGCUGAUGGACGAAAGC
rnacentral:rRNA from 1 species